rnacentral:rRNA from 1 species
UACGUAGGGUGCAAGCGUUGUCCGGAAUUAUUGGGCGUAAAGAGCUCGUAGGCGGUCUGUCGCGUCUGCUGUGAAAACUCGGGGCUUAACCCCGGGCCUGCAGUGGGUACGGGCAGACUAGAGUGCGGUAGGGGAGACUGGAAUUCCUGGUGUAGCGGUGAAAUGCGCAGAUAUCAGGAGGAACACCGGUGGCGAAGGCGGGUCUCUGGGCCGUAACUGACGCUGAGGAGCGAAGGCGUGGGGAGCGAACAGG